rnacentral:rRNA from 1 species
CCCUUAGAUGUUCUGGGCUGCACGCGCGCUACACUGAUGCGAUCAACAAGUUUUUCCUAUGUCGAUAGACACGGGUAAUCUUUUGAACUCGCAUCGUGAUGGGGAUAGAUUAUUGUAAUUAUUAAUCUUCAACGAGGAAUUCCUAGUAGGUGCAAAUCAUCAGUUUGCAUCGAUUACGUCCCUGCCCUUUGUACACACCGCCCGUCGCUGCUACCGAUUGGUUGAUCUGGUGAAUUAUUCGGACUGCCGGCUGAAGGGGUUUCCUCAUCUGCCAACGGAAAGUCUUGUUAACCCUAUCAACUAGAGGAAGCAGAAGUCGUAACA